rnacentral:rRNA from 1 species
AUUGAACGCUGGCGGCAUGCUUUACACAUGCAAGUCGAACGGCAGCAUAGGUGCUUGCACCUGAUGGCGAGUGGCGAACGGGUGAGUAAUAUAUCGGAACAUGUCCGGAAGUGGGGGAUAACGUAGCGAAAGUUACGCUAAUACCGCAUAUGCCCUGGAGGGGGAAAGGGGGGAUCGCAAGACCUCUCGCUUUCGGAGUGGCCGAUAUCGGAUUAGCUAGUAGGUGAGGUAAAGGCUCACCUAGGCGACGAUCCGUAGCUGGUCUGAGAGGACGACCAGCCACACUGGAACUGAGACACGGUCCAGACUCCUACGGGUGGCAG